AGUAAAAGUCGUAACAAGGUCUCCGUAGGUGAACCUGCGGAGGGAUCAUUACACAAUAUGAAAGCGGGUUGGGACCUCACCUCGGUGAGGGCUCCAGCUUGUCUGAAUUAUUCACCCAUGUCUUUUGCGCACUUCUUGUUUCCUGGGCGGGUUCGCCCGCCACCAGGACCAAACCAUAAACCUUUUUGUAAUUGCAAUCAGCGUCAGUAAACAAUGUAAUUAUUACAACUUUCAACAACGGAUCUCUUGGUUCUGGCAUCGAUGAAGAACGCAGCGAAAUGCGAUACGUAGUGUGAAUUGCAGAAUUCAGUGAAUCAUCGAAUCUUUGAACGCACAUUGCGCCCUUUGGUAUUCCAAAGGGCAUGCCUGUUCGAGCGUCAUUUGUACCCUCAAGCUUUGCUUGGUGUUGGGCGUCUUUGUCUCUCACGAGACUCGCCUUAAAAUGAUUGGCAGCCGACCUACUGGUUUCGGAGCGCAGCACAAUUCUUGCACUUUGAAUCAGCCUUGGUUGAGCAUCCAUCAAGACCACAUUUUUUUCAACUUUUGACCUCGGAUCAGGUAGGGAUACCCGCUGAACUUAAGCAUAUCAAUAAGCGGAGGAAAAGAAACCAACAGGGAUUGCCCCAGUAACG
rnacentral:rRNA from 1 species